UUUGAUCCUGGCUCAGAGCGAACGCUGGCGGCAUGCUUAACACAUGCAAGUCGCACGAAGGUUUCGGCCUUAUUGGCGGACGGGUGAGUAACGCGUAGGAAUCUAUCCACGGGUGGGGGAUAACUUCGGGAAACUGAAGCUAAUACCGCAUGAUACCUGAGGGUCAAAGGCGCAAGUCGCCUGUGGAGGAGCCUGCGUUUGAUUAGCUUGUUGGUGGGGUAAUGGCCUACCAAGGCGAUGAUCGAUAGCUGGUUUGAGAGGAUGAUCAUCCACACUGGGACUGAGACACGGCCCAGACUCCUGCGGGAGGCAGCAGUGGGGAAUAUUGGACAAUGGGGGCAACCCUGAUCCAGCAAUGCCGCGUGUGUGAAGAACGUUUUCGGAUUGUAAAGCACUUUCGGCGGGGACGAUGAUGACGGUACCCGCAGAAGAAGCCCCGGCUAACUUCGUGCCAGCAGCCGCGGUAAUACGAAGGGGGCUAGCGUUGCUCGGAAUGACUGGGCGUAAAGGGCGUGUAGGCGGUUUGUACAGUCAGAUGUGAAAUCCCCGGGCUUAACCUGGGAGCUGCAUUUGAUACGUGCAAACUAUAGUGUGAGAGAGGGUUGUGGAAUUCCCAGUGUAGAGGUGAAAUUCGUAGAUAUUGGGAAGAACACCGGUGGCGAAGGCGGCAACCUGGCUCAUAACUGACGCUGAGGCGCGAAAGCGUGGGGAGCAC
rnacentral:rRNA from 1 species